GGCGGGUUCCGACUCUGACCUGUCUUCGCUAAGGCUUAAAGCUAUGGGGGGGCGGGCUGUGGGUUUCACUGGAAACGGUGGCGCCUCCCGUAUUUGGAAAGGAGUCGGAGGGUGUUGCAU
rfam:Desulfuromonadales bacterium C00003094 3datasets_contig_184910, whole genome shotgun sequence.